UGAGGACAAGAGCAAAGCGGGAGGCCCUCAGGACAAGGACAAAGAGAGACGCCUUGAGGACAAUGCCAAAGAGGGACGCCCUCAGGACAAUGCCAAAGAGGGACGCCUUGAGGACAAGUCCAAAGAGGGAGACCUUCAGGGCAAGACUGAAGACGGGCGUCCUGAUGUCAAGACCAAAGAGGAAGCCCUUGUUGGUGUGGAUGGACAGGAAAUGCAGAACAAAGACAAAGCUGAGGGACAGCACAAAACGAAAGCCUCAGUGAAGAAGUCAAAGGGGAAGAAAAAGGCGGCAGCACUCAACUCCGGAGUUCCAUCUCUGAAGGUCUGAGUCACACAGGAACGAAGCAGUGGCGAGUUGGAGCUGGUUAUCUUGCAGCACAGACAGCGGAGUGUGUGCUGCACACCGCAGGAUGUGGGAGGCGUGUUUGUGACGAGACCUGCUCCGCUCUACACCUUGGAAAGGCCACUUCCUGCCCCGUGUCACAAAAUAUACACAAAUAGACUUCUUUA
ensembl:lncRNA